UUUCCGUAGGUGAACCUGCGGAAGGAUCAUUGCACGCACAAAGUUGCAGCAAUCCCUCGAGCGAACGUCGUGAUUGUCCCCUUGGCUGGUUUCGUUGGCGGAGCGGGCGUCGCUCGCUGCGUCGCGGAGCCGGCCAACCCCCCAGGGAGUGGCUGCUCCCUGGGGCAAAACCCAACCGAUUGCGCAAUGCAUCGACGCCUUCGAUAAUGACUGAGUAUGAGAAGCGAGUGGUGGGGGCGGUCCGGGCGACCGGAGCGCUCAUCACGACGAGUGGUGAUUUGAAACAAAAACAACUCUCAGCAACGGAUAUCUUGGCUCUU
rnacentral:misc_RNA from 1 species